rnacentral:SRP_RNA from 1 species
GCUGGGCAUGGUGGCACAUGCCUGUAAUCCCAGCUACUCGGGAGGCUGAGGCAGGAGAAUUGCUUGAAUCCGGGAGGCAGAGGUUGCAGUGAGCCGAGAUUGCGCCACUGCAUUCCAGCCUGGGUGACAGAGCGAGACUCUGUCUCAA